CCUACGGGAGGCAGCAGUAAGGAAUCUUCCGCAAUGGGCGAAAGCCUGACGGAGCAACGCCGCGUGGGCGAUGAAGGCCUUCGGGUCGUAAAGCCCUUUUCUGUGGGACGAUAAUGACGGUACCACAGGAAUAGGCCACGGCUAACUACGUGCCAGCAGCCGCGGUAAUACGUAGGUGGCUAGCGUUAUCCGGAUUCACUGGGCGUAAAGAGCGUGUAGGUGGUUGGGCAAGUCAGAUGUGAAAGCCCUCCGCUUAACGGAGGAAGUGCAUUUGAAACUGCCCAGCUAGAGUACGGGAGAGGAGAGUGGAAUUCCCGGUGUAGAGGUAAAAUUCGUAGAUAUCGGGAGGAACACCAGUGGCGAGGGCGGCUCUCUGGACCGAUACUGACACUGAGACGCGAAAGCGGGGGGAGCAAACAGGAUUAGAUACCCGUGUAGU
rnacentral:rRNA from 1 species